AUUGAACGCUGGCGGCAUGCUUUACACAUGCAAGUCGAACGGUAACAGGUUAAGCUGACGAGUGGCGAACGGGUGAGUAAUGCAUCGGAACGUGCCCGGUCGUGGGGGUUAACGCAGCGAAAGCUGCGCUAAUACCGCAUACGAUCUAAGGAUGAAAGCGGGGGACCGUAAGGCCUCGCGCGAUCGGAGCGGCCGAUGUCAGAUUAGGUAGUUGGUGGGGUAAAGGCUCACCAAGCCAACGAUCUGUAGCUGGUCUGAGAGGACGACCAGCCAAACUGGGACUGAGACACGGCCCAGACUCCUACGGGAGGCAGCAGUGGGGAAUUUUGGACAAUGGGCGAAAGCCUGAUCCAGCAAUGCCGCGUGCAGGAAGAAGGCCUUCGGGUUGUAAACUGCUUUUGUACGGAGCGAAAAGGUCUCCUCUAAUACAGGGGGCUCAUGACGGUACCGUAAGAAUAAGCACCGGCUAACUACGUGCCAGCCGCCGCAGUAA
rnacentral:rRNA from 1 species